ACGGCCGUCAAUAACUCUUUGUUUUUUUGUUGUUUUUUUA
rnacentral:sRNA from 1 species